GAUGAACGCUGGCGGCGUGCCUAAUACAUGCAAGUCGAGCGAACGGACGAGAAGUUUCCUCCUCUGAUGUUAGCGGCGGAGGGGUGAGUACCACGUGGAUAACUUACCUAUAAGACUGGGAUAACUUCGGGAAACCGGAGCUAAUACCGGAUAAUAUUUUAAACCGCAUGGUUCAAAAGUGAAAGACGGUCUUCCUGUCACUAUUAGUUGAACCCGCGCUGCAUUAGCUAGUUGGUAAGGUAACGGCUUACCAAGGCAACGAUGCAUAGCCGACCUGAGAGGGUGAUCGGCCACACUGGAACUGAGACACGGUCCAGACUCCUACGGGAGGCAGCAGUAGGGAAUCUUCCGCAAUGGGCGAAAGCCUGACGGAGCAACGCCGCGUGAGUGAUGAAGGUCUUCGGAUCGUAAAACUCUGUUAUUAGGGAAGAACAUAUGUGUAAGUAACUGUGCACAUCUUGACGGUACCUAAUCAGAAAGCCACGGCUAACUACGUG
rnacentral:rRNA from 1 species